rnacentral:rRNA from 1 species
CCCUUAGAUGUUCUGGGCGGCCCGCGCACUACAUUGGCACUAGCAAAGAGAUCCUAGAUUGAAUUCUUUGGGGCAUUCUUCUAAAUGGUGUCGUGACUGGGAUAAAUCCUUGUAAUUAUUGGUUUUGAACGAGGAAUUCCUUGUAAUCGCGGUUUAUCAGCUCGCGUUGAAUGCGUCCCUGCCCUUUGUACACACCGCCCGUCGCUCCUACCGAUGGAUCGUCCGGUGAAGCUCACGGAGUGACUGUUCACGCAACGGUUUACGAAGUGAAAUGGACCUCACGAUUUAGAGGAAGGAGAAGUCGUAACA